rnacentral:rRNA from 1 species
UACGUAGGUGGCAAGCGUUGUCCGGAUUUACUGGGCGUAAAGCGAACGCAGGCGGGCCUUUUAAGUAGGAAGUGAAAGGUUGGAGCUCAACUCUAACACUGCUCCCUAUACUGGAGGCCUUGAGUUUCGGAGAGGAAGACGGAACUGCAGGUGUAGCGGUGAAAUGCGUUGAUAUCUGCAGGAACACCAAUGGCGAAAGCAGUCUUGCUGGACGAAUACUGACGCUCAGGUUC